rnacentral:rRNA from 1 species
GACGAACGCUGGCGGUGUGCCUAACACAUGCAAGUCGAACGGUAAGGCCCUUUCGGGUGUACACGAGUGGCGAACGGGUGAGUAACACGUGAGUAACCUGCCCUCAUCUCUGGGAUAACAGUCGGAAACGGUUGCUAAUACUGGAUAUGAGCUUGCAAGGCAUCUUGUGGGUUGGAAAGAUUUUUUUGGUUGGGGAUGGACUCGCGGCCUAUCAGCUUGUUGGUGAGGUAGUGGCUCACCAAGGCUUCGACGGGUAGCCGGCCUGAGAGGGCGACCGGCCACAUUGGGACUGAGAUACGGCCCAAACUCCUACGGGAGGCAGCAGUGGGGAAUAUUGCACAAUGGACGGAAGUCUGAUGCAGCAACGCCGCGUGCGGGAGGACGGCCUUCGGGUUGUAAACCGCUUUCAAUUGUGACGAAGCUUUUUGUGACGGUAGCAGUAGAAGAAGCACCGGCUAACUACGUG